AUCAAGGCUGAGGCGUGACGACGAGGCACUACGGUGCUGAAGCAACAAAUGCCCUGCUUCCAGGAAAAGCCUCUAAGCAUCAGGUAACAUCAAAUCGUACCCCAAACCGACACAGGUGGUCAGGUAGAGAAUACCAAGGCGCUUGAGAGAACUCGGGUGAAGGAACUAGGCAAAAUGGUGCCGUAACUUCGGGAGAAGGCACGCUGACACGUAGGUGAAGUGAUUUACUCACGGAGCUGAAGUCAGUCGAAGAUACCAGCUGGCUGCAACUGUUUAUUAAAAACACAGCACUGUGCAAACACGAAAGUGGACGUAUACGGUGUGACGCCUGCCCGGUGCCGGAAGGUUAAUUGAUGGGGUCAGCGCAAGCGAAGCUCCUGAUCGAAGCCCCGGUAAACGGCGGCCGUAACUAUAACGGUCCUAAGGUAGCGAAAUUCCUUGUCGGGUAAGUUCCGACCUGCACGAAUGGCGUAAUGAUGGCCAGGCUGUCUCCACCCGAGACUCAGUGAAAUUGAACUCGCUGUGAAGAUGCAGUGUACCCGCGGCAAGACGGAAAGACCCCGUGAACCUUUACUAUAGCUUGACACUGAACAUUGAGCCUUGAUGUGUAGGAUAGGUGGGAGGCUUUGAAGUGUGGACGCCAGUCUGCAUGGAGCCGGCCUUGAAAUACCACCCUUUAAUGUUUGAUGUUCUAACGUGGACCCGUGAUCCGGGUUGCGGACAGUGUCUGGUGGGUAGUUUGACUGGGGCGGUCUCCUCCUAAAGAGUAACGGAGGAGCACGAAGGUUGGCUAAUCCUGGUCGGACAUCAGGAGGUUAGUGCAAUGGCAUAAGCCAGCUUGACUGCGAGCGUGACGGCGCGAGCAGGUGCGAAAGCAGGUCAUAGUGAUCCGGUGGUUCUGAAUGGAAGGGCCAUCGCUCAACGGAUAAAAGGUACUCCGGGGAUAACAGGCUGAUACCGCCCAAGAGUUCAUAUCGACGGCGGUGUUUGGCACCUCGAUGUCGGCUCAUCACAUCCUGGGGCUGAAGUAGGUCCCAAGGGUAUGGCUGUUCGCCAUUUAAAGUGGUACGCGAGCUGGGUUUAGAACGUCGUGAGACAGUUCGGUCCCUAUCUGCCGUGGGCGCUGGAGAACUGAGGGGGGCUGCUCCUAGUACGAGAGGACCGGAGUGGACGCAUCACUGGUGUUCGGGUUGUCAUGCCAAUGGCACUGCCCGGUAGCUAAAUGCGGAAGAGAUAAGUGCUGAAAGCAUCUAAGCACGAAACUUGCCCCGAGAUGAGUUCUCCCUGAGACUUUAGGUCUCCUGAAGGAACGUUGAAGACGACGACGUUGAUAGGCCGGGUGUGUAAGCGCAGCGAUGCGUUGAGCUAACCGGUACUAAUGAACCGUGAGGCUUAACCUUACA
rnacentral:rRNA from 1 species